rnacentral:rRNA from 1 species
AGAAUCAACGCUGGCGGCGUGCCUAACACAUGCAAGUCGCACGAGAAAGGGGCUUCGGCUCUGAGUAAAGUGGCGCACGGGUGAGUAACACGUGACUAAUCUACCCUCGAGUGGGGAAUAACUGAGAGAAAUCUUAGCUAAUACCGCAUAACACUUACGAGUCAAAGCAGCAAUGCGCUUGGGGAGGAGGUCGCGGCCGAUUAGCUAGUUGGCGGGGUAAUGGCCCACCAAGGCGAUGAUCGGUA